GUGAUACAGACCUCCCACCAUCACAGGGAUCAUUGAACAGUGGUGUCCCUGUGUGAUAGUUGCACAGGUCACCACCACAGCCCUCCCUGCACUGCCUGUGGCUGGCCUCCUGGUUCAGCCCUCUGUUAGGGCCCCAGGGCUGUGCCUGUCCCUGUCAUUUGGCAGCUCACGGGGAGGGGAUGGACCCCAGGGCGGUGGGGGCUGUGCUGGGCCCUGCCUCCUGCCUGUGCUGCUGGGACGAGGUGCCCCUGCACGGCCAGGCUGGCACCCAGGGCCCUGCCGGGUGCCCUUCCUGCCUGCGCAGCUCCAUCAGGAGCGACCGUGGUGCUGGGCAUCUGCUGCCCACCACCUCGUGCCUUCAUGCUGAGCUGCUGCUGAGGCGCUGUGGCCUCUGGCAGCCUCUGGCCUGUCUGGCACAUCCCUGUGGGAGCACAGGCGUGGAAAUCCCAGGCUGGCAGCACAGCCUGAAGGCCCCGGCUGGAGCUGUGCAUCAGGGAGGGAGUAUAGUGCUGGCUGGGCUGGAGGGGCAAAGGCCCUUGUGUUUUGGGGCUGUUCAGGGUGAGCAAUUCUGGGUUGCAGUGACUGGGGCACAUAAACAUCCCGGUGCCCUCUCUGAGGUCAGUCUGAGGGGCAGAGGCAGUGGCUGGGGCAGUGUGUGGAGCUGGAGGCUGCUGAGUGUCCUGGGAAGAGCUCUGCCUUGUUUCUGCUCCCCUAGGCUAAGCUUUCCCCCCAAGGGCUGGUGCUGCAGCAUCAGAGCUGAUGUUGGUGCUCGUGGCUGCUGUGUGCAGGUUUGCCAGGCCUUGCUGAGCCUCCAGGCACUUUGCACUCACGGAUCCUGCAUUUUCUGCCCUCUCUCCUCUCCCUCUGCAGGUUCCCUGGUCCAGGCAGCACUGACUCAGCAGCCGGCCUCAGUGUCUGUGUCCCCAGGAGAAACCGCCCAGAUCACCUGCUCUGGGAGUAGUGGCAGCUAUGUCUGGUUCUAGCAGAAGCCUGGCAGUGGCCUGUUGUUGUGAUUUACUACAAUGACAAGAGCGGGAUUUUCCCGCUGCGUGUGGAGCACAGGGGCAGGAAGGCCUCGGUGCUGCCCCGUGCCGUGUCCCCAGGGCUGUCUGCAUCUGGCGCUGCCGUGGCCCCUGCGUGGUUCCCUGGUCCAGGCAGCGGUGACUCAGCUGGCCUCGGUGUCCGUGUCCCCGGGAGAAAACGCCCGCAUCACCUGCUCUGGGUAUUACAGUGACUACUAUAGCAGCAGCUACUUUGGCUGGAUCCAGCAGAAACCUGGUGGUGCCCCGGUCGUCGUGAUAUAUGAAAGCACCAAGAGACCCUCGGGCAUCCCUGCGCGAUUCUCCGGUUCCAAGUCCGGCUCCACGGGCACGUUGACCAUCACUGGGGUGCAAGCUGAGGACAAGGCUGCGGUGUGGAGCGUAGGGUCGUGGCUAGGACAGCAGUGCUGACCAGGGUCCUGGUGACAAUGCGGAACAUGCAGUGGGGAAGUGAGGUUCCCUGGUCCAGGCAGCAGUGACUCAGCCGGCCUCGGUGUCCGUGUCCCCGGGAGAAACCGCCCGCAUCACCUGCUCUGGG